GCGGUCUGCUUACACAUGCAGUCGAACGCAACCUUCGGGUUGAGUGGCGGACGGGUGAGUAACGCGUGAGAAUCUGCCUUGGGGUCGGGGACAACCACUGGAAACGGUGGCUAAUACCGGAUAAGCCUUUGGGUAAAAAAUUUAUUGCCCCAAGAGGAGCUCGCGUCUGAUUAGCUAGUUGGUGAGGUAAGAGCUCACCAAGGCAGCGAUCAGUAGCUGGUCUGAGAGGACGAUCAGCCACACUGGGACUGAGACACGGCCCAGACUCCUACGGGAGGCAGCAGUGGGGAAUUUUCCGCAAUGGGCGAAAGCCUGACGGAGCAAGACCGCGUGAGGGAGGAAGGCUCUUGGGUUGUAAACCUCUUUUCUCAGGGAAGAAGCUCUGACGGUACCUGAGGAAUCAGCCUCGGCUAACUCCGUGCCAGCAGCCGCGGUAAUACGGAGGAGGCAAGCGUUAUCCGGAAUUAUUGGGCGUAAAGCGUCCGCAGGUGGCGAUUCAAGUCUGCUGUCAAAGCACGGGGCUUAACUCCGUUAAGGCAGUGGAAACUGAAUAGCUAGAGUGCCGUAGGGGUAGAGGGAAUUCCCGGUGUAGCGGUGAAAUGCGUAGAGAUCGGGAAGAACAUCGGUGGCGAAAGCGCUCUACUGGACGGCAACUGACACUCAGGGACGAAAGCUAGGGGAGCGAAUGGGAUUAGAUACCCCAGUAGUCCUAGCUGUAAACGAUGGAUACUAGGU
rnacentral:rRNA from 1 species